UUAUUAAAAUUAUAAAUAUAUCCUUAUCAAUUCAAAAACUCAUCACUAAUUAGACUCCUAAAAAUAUCAAAAUCUUAACUUAAAAUUUUAUCCUUAGAUCCUUAGAACUAAAUUUCAAUUGCCAACAAAGUUAUCGGUUAUGGGUAGGAGGGAAGUUAUUGUCGACAUAGAUGGAGAAGAUGUAACACCCACAACUCUGACACGUUUUUCUUGCAAAGAAGACGGUGGUUGAGGUAGGAAAAAGAAGGGAAGUGAGAGUUCAUUCGAGUUUCCAGGCAACAAAUUUCAGAGCUACAAAUGACUAUGAUGGCUGCGAGACAAGUGUUGGUCAGUAAUAGGGGCAUUUCUGUCAAUUUUAAUCUAUGGUUAUAUUAUAUACACAUUUGCAUUUAAUUUACUUGAGAUGUAAAAGCUAGACUUUAUGUUUAUGUUUCGAUUGGGUUUUCUUGUAAUUAUGGACAUCCUUUGUCACAAUUCCACAUUUUGAUAAUGUAAGGGUAAUCUAUUAAUUUUAAUAUUA